GACGAACGCUGGCGGCGUGCUUAACACAUGCAAGUCGAACGGAAAGGCCCUGCUUUUGUGGGGUGCUCGAGUGGCGAACGGGUGAGUAACACGUGAGUAACCUGCCCUUGACUUUGGGAUAACUUCAGGAAACUGGGGCUAAUACCGGAUAGGAGCUCCUGCUGCAUGGUGGGGGUUGGAAAGUUUCGGCGGUUGGGGAUGGACUCGCGGCUUAUCAGCUUGUUGGUGGGGUAGUGGCUUACCAAGGCUUUGACGGGUAGCCGGCCUGAGAGGGUGACCGGCCACAUUGGGCCUGAGAGACGGCGCAGACUCCUACGGGAGGCAGCAGUGGGGAAUAUUGCACAAUGGGCGGAAGCCUGAUGCAGCAACGCCGCGUGCGGGAUGACGGCCUUCGGGUUGUAAACCGCUUUCGCCUGUGACGAAGCGUGAGUGACGGUAAUGGGUAAAGAAGCACCGGCUAACUACGUG
rnacentral:rRNA from 1 species